rnacentral:misc_RNA from 1 species
GUGAAUCAUCGAAUUUUUGGACGCAAAUUGCACUCUCUUCGGAGAGUAUGCCUGUUUGAGGGUCAGCCUUAAAAAAAUCGACAUAGUUGCUGUUUUUCAGUGAGAUUCGUCGGAAUUUGGGACAUCUUAAUCCUUUGGGUUGUAUGAUGAUUAAAAUGUUCUUUACGAUUACACGAACGUUUCUAAGAUUUAUUUCUUACGUUUAAGGUAUCGAUUUUUAUUAGACGUGUCCGUUGUUUCG